UGAGCUCGACUUUGCCAUGUGAAGGUAUCUACACCAACAAUUACGAAGUUCAGUAGUGAAUCUAACUUUUAUUUAGUUAGUUAUUUAUGUUGGAUUACUAGGAUCAUUUAGGUUGAUUUGAGGACGGGUUUUAUGAUGCGAUAGCUAGUAGAAAUAACAGUGUGUUUGUUUAAUUAUAUCCUGGAAAGGGUGAUGUUCAGCACAUGAAGCCCUACAGAUGCCGCCGCUUCAACAAUGCUGAUUAUGAUGGGCGGUGAAUUUAACCUUUGCUUUAUUAGGUCCUCCACAGUCGCCCCAUCAGUCCCUGGCAGUCUGGUCCCUGGAGCAGCUGGCCCUGGAUCACCUGCCCCUGAAUCACCUGCCCCUGGCAAAGUGGCCUCUUGAUUGCUCUCUGUGUCUCCUGUCAUGUCCUUUUCAUCGCUCUUGAAAUCCACCUAAAUUUCUCCCUCAAUCUCUGUAAUAAUUACAAGGUAAUGUUGCUGUUGUAUGUAUUUUGCCUUUGCAUUUGCAACUACUGUCAUCUCCAAUGUAAGCCAAUGUAAGAAAAUUAAUUAAAGCAAAUCAUUUCUGUAAUGUGAAUUAAAUCAUCUGCCACAAUCAGAAACCAAUAAAAUGCAUAAAUGGAUCUACCGGCAAUUGUUAAUUGGGUAGAAAUGUGUCUUAUCUACAUUGUGUGCGAAUCCUCAGAGAAUCCCUGACCUCUGGUUGUUUUUUAAACUGAAUGUACAAUAUGAAUUAUGUAAUCUCAUUAGGAGUGUAGUCUAUCCUUGAAUUACAUGAAAUGGGGAAUAUUGUUAGCUGCAUGGAUCAUACCGAAGUUUAAUUUGGUGAAAUAUGUGUGGUCCGUUGCACUUGGUUCUGGAGGCACCCUCACAGAAGGGGGUUUCCUCCUCUUCGGCUUAGGGCAAUGAAUGAAAACUGUUGGGACUGCAUCGGGCCUCAGCUUCAACAUCCCUUCUCUUUUUGUGGCAGUGAAUUGGUCAUCUUCAAAGUGUACCUUAUAGGUAGGCUUGUAAUCAGUUUCCAUUGCACUUCAAAUAACAUUGAAAAGUCAUAAUUCUCAACACUUAGAAUUAUUAUGCCCUUUGAAAUGCUAUCAAGUGAUGUGAACAUUACUUACAUUACAUAGUUUUUGACGGUUGCUGACCCCUGUCACUUAUACGUUUUGACGGCUGACCAUUGCCAUCCAUUUCUUCCUGCGCUCUUGGUCCUUGGGGAAGCCAUACAUGUGGUAACCCUUCUCGGACCGAUUGGAGCAUCCAAACGCUGCACAGCCAACCAUGGUAUGACCAUUGAUCUAAACCAAUUUUGAAUUUGCUCAGGGCUAUUAUAAGUAUUGUAAUGGCAUAAAGUAUAGUAUAUUUUCAACGUUAUAUGUUAAUGGUUUGCCCUAAGUACAGUAUAUUAUAUAGGGCCGGUUUCGGAGACAGGGCUUAAAUCAAGACUGGAGUAGGCCUA
rnacentral:lncRNA from 1 species